AAUGAUUAAUAGGGACGGUCGGGGGCAUCAGUAUUCAAUUGUCAGAGGUGAAAUUCUUGGAUUUAUUGAAGACUAACUACUGCGAAAGCAUUUGCCAAGGACGUUUUCAUUAAUCAAGAACGAAAGUUAGGGGAUCGAAGAUGAUCAGAUACCGUCGUAGUCUUAACCAUAAACUAUGCCGACUAGGGAUCGGGUGUUGUUCUUUUUUUUGACUCACUCGGCACCUUACGAGAAAUCAAAGUUUUUGGGUUCUGGGGGGAGUAUGGUCGCAAGGCUGAAACUUAAAGGAAUUGACGGAAGGGCACCACCAGGAGUGGAGCCUGCGGCUUAAUUUGACUCAACACGGGGAAACUCACCAGGUCCAGACACAAUAAGGAUUGACAGAUUGAGAGCUCUUUCUUGAUUUUGUGGGUGGUGGUGCAUGGCCGUUCUUAGUUGGUGGAGUGAUUUGUCUGCUUAAUUGCGAUAACGAACGAGACCUUAACCUACUAAAUAGUACUGUUAGCUUUUUGCUGAUAUAGUUACUUCUUAGAGGGACUAUCGAUUUCAAGUCGAUGGAAGUUUGAGGCAAUAACAGGUCUGUGAUGCCCUUAGACGUUCUGGGCCGCACGCGCGCUACACUGACGGAGCCAACGAGUACUAUCCUUUGCCGAGAGGUAUGGGUAAUCUUGUGAAACUCCGUCGUGCUGGGGAUAGAGCAUUGCAAUUAUUGCUCUUCAACGAGGAAUUCCUAGUAAGCGUAAGUCAUCAGCUUGCGUUGAUUACGUCCCUGCCCUUUGUACACACCGCCCGUCGCUAGUACCGAUUGAAUGGCUUAGUGAGGCCUCAGGAUUGGUUUAAAGGAGGAGGCGACUCCACCUUGGAACUGAGAAUCUGGUCAAACUUGGUCAUUUAGAGGAACUAAAAGUCGUAACAAGGUUUCCGUAGGUGAACCUGCGGAAG
rnacentral:rRNA from 1 species